UACGGGGGGGGCAAGCGUUGUUCGGAAUUACUGGGCGUAAAGGGCUCGUAGGUGGCCAACUAAGUCAGACGUGAAAUCCCUCAGCUUAGCUGGGGAACUGCGUCUGAUACUGGAUGGCUUGAGUUUGGGAGAGGGAUGCGGAAUUCCAGGUGUAGCGGUGAAAUGCGUAGAUAUCUGGAGGAACACCGGUGGCGAAGGCGGCAUCCUGGACCAACACUGACACUGAGGAGCGAAAGCCAGGGGAGCAAACGGG
rnacentral:rRNA from 1 species